rnacentral:rRNA from 2 species
CUAAUACAUGCAAGUCGAGCGCACUGGCCCAACUGAUAUGAYGUGCUUGCACUGAUUUGACGAUGGAUUACCAGUGAGCGGCGGACGGGUGAGUAACACGUGGGCAACCUGCCCUAAAGCGGGGGAUAACAUUUGGAAACAGGUGCUAAUACCGCAUAACUACGAAAACCACAUGGUUUUCGUAUCAAAGAUGGUUUCGGCUAUCACUUUAGGAUGGGCCCGCGGUGCAUUAGCUAGUUGGUAGGGURACGGCCUACCAAGGCAAUGAUGCAUAGCCGAGUUGAGAGACUGAUCGGCCACAAUGGAACUGAGACACGGUCCAUACUCCUACGGGAGGCAGCAGUAGGGAAUCUUCCACAAUGGGCGCAAGCCUGAUGGAGCAACACCGCGUGAGUGAAGAAGGGUUUCGGCUCGUAAAACUCUGUUGUUGAAGAAGAA